GACGAACGCUGGCGGUGUGCUUAACACAUGCAAGUCGAACGGCAAGGCACUGCUUUUGUGGGGUGCUCGAGUGGCGAACGGGUGCGUAACACGUGAGUAACCUGCCCUUGUCUUUGGGAUAACUUCAGGAAACUGGGGCUAAUACCGGAUAGGAGCUCCCGCUGCAUGGUGGGGGUUGGAACGUUUCGGCGGGUGGGGAUGGACUCGCGGCUUAUCAGCUUGUUGGUGGGGUAGUGGCUGACCAAGGCUUUGACUGGUAGCCGGCCUGAGAGGGUGACCGGCCACAUUGGGACUGAGAUAGGGCCCAGACUCCAACGGGAGGCAGCAGUGGGGAAUAUUGCACAGUGGGCGGAAGCCGGAUGCAGCGGCGCCGCGUGCGGGAUGACGGCCUUCGGGUUGUAAACCGCUUUCGCCUGUGACGAAGCGUGAGUGACGGUAAUGGGUAAAGAAGCACCGGCUAACUACGUG
rnacentral:rRNA from 1 species